GACGAACGCUGGCGGCGUGCUUAACACAUGCAAGUCGAACGAAGUGGCGAACGGGUGAGUAACGCGUAAUCAACCUGCCCUUCAGAGGGUGACAACAGUUGGAAACGACUGCUAAUACCGCAUACGGAAGGAGGGGAUUGCGUCGGAUUAGCUAGUGGGAGGGGUAACGGCCCACCAAGGCGAUGUGCAGUAGCCGGGCUGAGAGGAUGAACGGCCACACUGGGACUGAGAGACGGCCCAGACUCCUACGGGAGGCAGCAGUGGGGGAUCUUCCGCAAUGGACGAAAGUCUGACGGAGCAACGCCGCGUGAGUGAUGACGGCCUUCUGGUUGUAAAGCUCUGUUAAUCGGGACGCGGUACCGGAAUAGAAAGCCACGGCUAACUACGUGCCAGCCGCCGCGGUAAUUC
rnacentral:rRNA from 1 species